rnacentral:rRNA from 1 species
UGGGGAAUCUUCGGCAAUGGACGAAAGUCUGACCGAGCAACGCCGCGUGAGUGAAGAAGGUUUUCGGAUCGUAAAACUCUGUUGGUAGAGAAGAACGUUGGUGAGAGUGGAAAGCUCAUCAAGUGACGGUAACUACCCAGAAAGGGACGGCUAACUACGUGCCAGCAGCCGCGGUAAUACGUAGGUCCCGAGCGUUGUCCGGAUUUAUUGGGCGUAAAGCGAGCGCAGGUGGUUUAUUAAGUCUGGUGUAAAAGGCAGUGGCUCAACCAUUGUAUGCAUUGGAAACUUGUAGACUUGAGUGCAGGAGAGGAGAGUGGAAUUCCAUGUGUAGCGGUGAAAUGCGUAGAUAUAUGGAGGAACACCGGUGGCGAAAGCGGCUCUCUGGCCUGUAACUGACACUGAGGCUCGAAAGCGUGGGGAGCAAACA